UCAAAUGGGCAAAAGAAGAAGAAGAAGAAGAAGAAAGGAGGAUUGUGAAAAAGAGAGGAGGUUGUGGCGGAGGUUUGCCAAAACUGGCUAGAAGCUAAAACAGAUCGUGGUUGUCCAACAGCCUAUUAUGUGAUCAUGGACCCUUGAUCUAAUAAUUCAGCCGCAUCCUCAAUUUUCAGUUCACAUUCCUUUCCAACACUUUGUGCGUAAUCCAAUUACAAACUCAGGACACAAACUUAAGCAUAACCACUCGGAUUAAAAGUACAUUGUAACCAGACACGAUCACAUAAUACAAUGAAUCAUCAUUAA